AAAUAUAUAUCAGUUAUCUGGUCAUUUACUCUAUAUCUUGCUUAUCAAAUAUAUAUCCAGUUAUCUGGUCAUUUACUCUAUAAUAUAACUUGUGUUUAUAAUAUAACUUAGUAUUCAUAUACUAUAGUUGUUUAUAAAACACCAUCUGAAAAGUUGACUCUGUACUCAUAUACGGUAGUAAACUUCAAGAGAAAAAGGCAAGUCCAAUAUAUAAUAUUAUA
rnacentral:lncRNA from 1 species